UACGUAGGGUGCGAGCGUUAUCCGGAUUUACUGGGUUUAAAGGGUCCGUAGGCGGUUUAGUAAGUCAGUGGUGAAAGCCCAUCGCUCAACGGUGGAACGGCCAUUGAUACUGCUAAACUUGAAUUAUUAGGAAGUAACUAGAAUAUGUAGUGUAGCGGUGAAAUGCUUAGAGAUUACAUGGAAUACCAAUUGCGAAGGCAGGUUACUACUAAUGGAUUGACGCUGAUGGACGAAAGCGUGGGUAGCGAACAGG
rnacentral:rRNA from 1 species